GUGUUUGCUUCAGUAACACAUAUACUAAAAUUGGAACAAUACAGAGAAGAUUAUCAUGGUCCCUGCACAAAGAUGACAUGCAAAUUUAUUAUAGCUUAGUAGUAUUU